GAUGCGACCUCAGCUCAGGCGGGGCCACCCGCUGAGUUUAAGCAUAUCAAUAAGCGGAGGDAAAGAACUAACAAGGAUUCCCCUA
rnacentral:rRNA from 1 species